rnacentral:rRNA from 1 species
GCCCCAGACUCCUACGGGAGGCAGCAGUGAGGAAUAUUGGUCAAUGGGCGCAAGCCUGACCCAGCAAUGCCGCGUGAAGGAAGAAGGCCCUCGGGUUGUAAACUUCUUUUAUCAGGGACGAAGGAUGUGACGGUACCUGAUGAAUAAGCUCCGGCUAACUACGUGCCAGCAGCCGCGGUAAUACGUAGGGAGCAAGCGUUAUCCGGAUUUACUGGGUGUAAAGGGCGUGUAGGCGGGGACGUAAGUCAGAUGUGAAAACCACGGGCUCAACCUGUGGCCUGCACUUGAAACUGUGUUUCUUGAGUACUGGAGAGGCAGACGGAAUUCCUAGUGUAGCGGUGAAAUGCGUAGAUAUUAGGAGGAACACCAGUGGCGAAGGCGGUCUGCUGGACAGCAACUGACGCUGAGGCGCGAAAGCGUGGGGAGCAAACAGGAUUAGAUACCCCCGUAA